AUACUUUAAUAAGUAACUAAAAUAGAGUACAAAAGAUGCACCUUUCACAAAAUCUUAGUAGUGAAAAUAUACCUCAUAAUUUCUCUUAUUCUUCCACUACAACAAAAACGGUCUAUAGCGACACUUUUAAAUAUAGGUACAUGUCAAAAAAGUGCUGCUAGCUAAAAUUACCGACACUUUUGAAAAGUGUUGCUAUAUGUGGGGUCGCUAGGUAUAUAGUGACAGUUAAAGAGUGUCGCUAUAACCUAAAAAAGUGCUGCUAAUUUACCAACACUUAUUUAAGCAUUUAGCAACCGCCGAAACUCUAUCUCGUUGGCUGCGGUGGCGGAGGACGACGACAGGAAAGGCUCUUCGUCUAGAAUUUCAGUGAAUUGAGUGAAGAGAGAAGAAAAGAUGGUAAUUGAUUUUUCUUUUUUUAUUCUUUUCUGUUUGUAAUCGGGCCAAAUGGACUGGGUGUGGUGGGUUGAGUAGAGUAAUCUUUUAUUUUUGGUUGGAUUGGGCUUUAUAUUUAGGUAUUAGUAGAUGUUUUUUUAAGUUUUAGCAUAAAUGGGACACUUACUCAAAAGUGUCCUAAACAUGUGUCCCUAUAACCUAAUUCUGUUGUAGUGUUCACACCAAUUAAUCUACAAAAUAAAUGGUAUAUUUAUAUUUGUAACU
rnacentral:lncRNA from 1 species